rnacentral:rRNA from 1 species
GAUGAACGCUGGCGGCGUGCCUAAUACAUGCAAGUCGAGCGAACAGACGAGGAGCUUGCUCCUUUGACGUUAGCGGCGGACGGGUGAGUAACACGUAGGUAACCUACCUAUAAGACUGGGAUAACUUCGGGAAACCGGAGCUAAUACCGGAUAAUAUUUCGAACCGCAUGGUUCGAUAGUGAAAGAUGGCUUUGCUAUCACUUAUAGAUGGACCUGCGCCGUAUUAGCUAGUUGGUAAGUUAAAGGCUUACCAAGGCAACGAUACGUAGCCGACCUGAGAGGGUGAUCGGCCACACUGGAACUGAGACACGGUCCAGACUCCUACGGGAGGCAGCAGUAGGGAAUCUUCCGCAAUGGGCGAAAGCCUGACGGAGCAACGCCGCGUGAGUGAUGAAGGUCUUCGGAUCGUAAAACUCUGUUAUUAGGGAAGAACAAACGUGUAAGUAACUGUGCACGUCUUGACGGUACCUAAUCAGAAAGCCACGGCUAACUACGUG